CUGUUAACAGCGCGUGGCGUACAAACGCUGACAGAACAGUGGCAAACCAAAAAAAGGCGUGUUUGACUCGGUUAAAAAGUUUUACCAUCUCUCUUUAGGGCUGUUUUGAGUUUACAGGAGACUCGCCGUUUUCGUUUUCAGUUUUCAUUUGCAGUCACCAUCCAGCCACGGCUCCAAAGUGCAAACCGAAACCGAGCAAUAAGCCAAUAACAGACGGCAGCAAGAGUUGAUCUUCGUCCACAGCAAGAGUAGAGUUCCACAAAUCCCCUCGAUCGGAAUACCGCUUUUCUGAGAAAGCCCCCGUCAAUUUGGAUCCGAUUGUUUGGUUAGGAGGCGGCGCUGAAGAAUGAAAAAUGACCGGGCUUGAGAAACGAAACCCGAAAUCGAAAUCGAGAAUUGGUAGAGUUCCACAAAUCCCCUCAAUCGGAAAACCGCAUUUCUGACAAAGCCCCCGUCAAUUUCGAUCCGAUUGUUUGGGUAGGAGGCGGCGCUGAAGAAGGAAAACGGAACGGGCUUGAGAAAUGAAACCCGAAAUUAAACCUGGCCUUUGGGAAAAAGUCAAAAUCGAGGUCACCCAAUUCCAGACGAGGGGACGCUGCCCAAGUGAAUUGCGUGCAACAUUAUGUCAGGAUUAGUCUACAUUUCUCCUGCAAUUGGUAGAGUUCCACAAAUCCCCUCCAUCGGAAUACCGCAUAUCUGACAAAGCCCCCGUCAAUUUCGAUCCGAUUGUUUGGGGAGGAGGCGGCGCUGAAGAAGGAAAACGGACUGGGCUUGACAAACGAUACCCGAAAUUCAGCAUGGCCUUGGGGAAGAGGUCGAAAUCGAGGUCACCGAAUUCUGGACGAGGGAACGUUGCCCAAGUGAAUUGCGUACAAACAGUCAGGACGGAGCCUCAGUGUAAAUGGAGAAGAGCUACGGGAGUUAAGAAGGGAAAAGGUGGGCAUGAAAUACGCUCGGAUGUGAGUGGAGAAACAGAUGUGCGGAAUGCAGAAAAGUCAUAUUGUGGUGCAUUAGGAGGACACCCUUGUAAAAUGAAUACAUAUAAUGGGUCAGAAGGGGUUGAGUCUAUGAAGCUAAGGGUUGGUGAGGUGAAAUUAAUAAUUGGGAGGGUGACACAAACAACUGCUUGUUUGGAGCGUGAGUUGGAGAGAAUGGGUGAAAAAGUGCGGCAUAUCGAACAAUCUAUGUCUGAUAUUGUUAGUGAUGCAGCCAUCGAAGAUAUUGUUAAUGAGGUUGUGGAAGCUGUAAGUGCUAGAGAAAGGGGGAAGAAGAUAUACAUGCAAAAGGGAAUGGGAAUUCCCCGAACAACGAGCGUAACUCGGUUUAGGAAGGGCAAUAUAGAAGCACACAAACAUGUUAAACGUUUGGUUGAUGAUAUGGAGGUGAAGCGGCUGAAGAGUAAAGGCCGAAAAGUCGAAAACAGAUGCAUCAGAGCACGAAACGAAAUUUUUGUGCAUUUGCAAAUGAAGGUGUGAUGUCAGGGAAGAAUGCUGAUCUAUUGAGGUUCCUAUUUCGUAAAAACUUUGUAGGUGAAGAGAAGUGGAGCAACAACCCCUCAAAUGAGAUGCCGAAUGAGCUAUUUCCUGCUGCCAUUGAUGCGACUGACAUGACGGAAUCAACCGAGGGCACCUCUAAACAGUUAAUUUUAUGCAACUAUUUAUUGGUGUCUUCAGGUAGGGGUUGUAUUGGUUCUUCUCCAAUUGUCAGUGAAUUAUAGAAAUUCAGGAACUACGUUAACAUGAUUCAUUUAAACUUAUCGCAAUGCCGGCUUGGGAUCAUGCCGUUUGUAUUAUGUGUACUUGAAGCAUGCAGAAGGGCAACUGACUAGAAAGGGAAUCAAGUUGAUCUUGCAGCAGAUGAAGCCGGAGGGAGGAGUAUAGCUCAAGGGCUCUAUCCAAAAAAAAAAGGAUUACGCAGUGCUUGGCAUCACACUUGGGUAAGGAGAUUUACGAAGGUUGUCGUGGUUAUGAGUCCAAAGGAAAACUAUGGUACUGCUUGCUUAUACUGCUAAAAAAACUGUCAUCAAAAUAAAGUCGGCGCUGCAACACUGGAAUUUGUGUAUUUACAAUUUUUCAAUGUAGUUUCUUGCCGAACCAAAAUUUGUACAACUACUGUGGGUUUUUGAGUAAUGCUGCGAGAUCCCUGCUUGUGUA